rfam:Oryza glumipatula chromosome 7, whole genome shotgun sequence.
AAUAAACCUAGCCAUGAGUUUUCACGUCCAACUUUAAUCAUCCGUCUUAUUUAAAAAAAAUUUAUAAUUAGUAUUUUUGUUGUUAUGAGAUAAUAAAACAUAAAUAUUACUUUACUCGUGACUUAUGUUUUUAAUCUUUUAAAAAAAAUUUAAAUAAGACGAACGGUCAAAGUUGGACACGGAAAAUCAUUGUUGUACUUAUU